AUGCAGUCUAUGGCUUUGGAAGUUAGGCAUCCAAACAACACAUUGCAGGCUCUGUCAAGCUCCUCUCCCCCCACAGCUGUGACCCUUCAUGACAGAGAGCCAUGGCAGAGCAUAUGUUUCUCAACAUAUAUCGAGUGUCAUUACCAAACAGGAGUCCAGAGAGGACCCAGGGCCUGGCUCAGGCUUUUAAAUCACCUAUCUCUCACAAGAACCGACUUCAGGAAACAGGUGACCCCCUUCAGAAGGUACACCCCGGUAACUCCCAGAAAUCCCACCACCUUCCAGUGUCUUCCACCUGGAGACAGGCCAGUGUCUGACCCAUGAACCUCCGAGAGAGGUACAACCCAACCGGUACCUAAGACAUACGGUGUGAGAGUCUUCUCCAGUCUGCACGCUGUCAGCGGUGACGAUCCGGACCCUAACUGUGAGGACAGUUGCCUUAAAGGUUCUUGGGGACUUUUGCAGGUCUCUCAGGAGUAAGAGGAUGAAAAGUCAACCUUGUCUGAUUUUAAACCUGUGCUGCUCGCUGUAGAGUUCUUUUGCCAGUAGCUAGAGGAAGCCUGAGGCCCAUGCUGGGUUGUCCUCUCCCCAGAGCCUUUGCUUACUUUGCUAGCCCUGGCCUUCCUCCAUGUUCUGCAUGAUCUCUUACAGGGCCUCCCAGGUGCUGCCAGGCCCAGCCAGAAGCCAGAUAGUCACCAGAAGCUCUGAUUGUAGGAUAAGCGGGUCCUGUGUGGUCUUGCCCACCUCUUCUACAAUCUGAGUACCAUCUCCUUUCCCGCUGCCAUGGCUGUCAUUCGGCGGGUCACCCCCGUGCUGGGGGCCAGUGGAGCCCAUGUGCCUCACAGCUGGCAGGUCUUCCUCCUUCCUGUCCUCCCUCCCUCCCUCCCUGUGCUGCUGGCUGUUGCACACAGUCCUCAUUUCAUGCAGAUUUGCUCUGAUUCCUUUCAGACCAGGGAGUACUAGCUUGUUUGCGUCAAAACUCAUAGGCUGCCAAUGUCCUGGAGCACUUGGGCCUUGCCUCGCAUGGACUUUGGUGGCUAGCUAACUAUAGGCCAAGGAAGGCAAGACCCAGAGUCAAAGACAGCAUUUAGGUGACAAACCAGACUGGAAAGGGGCAGACUGACUCUGGAUGGCUGCAUUAUUCUUCCUGAUCUCUGCCUGGAGAGCAUAGGAAUAUGGAGCCCUGAAGCAGGAGAGAUCUUAGAGGCCAUUUCUUUCCAGUCACAUCCAAAGAGGCACAUGACUUGCUCUGAGUUGCCAGCUCCAAGGGCCAGAGUGCAAACUAGAACCCGGGCCUCUUGCCUCCCAGAACAGAUCCACAGAUAAGAUCUGCUCACUCCGAAGGUCUGGAUAGUGUGGUGAACGUACCAGAACCAGCCCGUGCUGUAGGAUUUCUCCUACCAAGUCUUGCAAAGGGAUACUGAUUUCUUCAUAGUAGGAAGCCUUUGCAUUUGGCUCACAGAAUCAGAAAAGCAGACGACAAUUGGCUGACACCAACCGCUGAGAUCCCAGGGCCAGCUCCCUACGUGGGUAAGACUGUCCCUUUGCAUACAUUUCGUUUAUGUGGCUCAGGCUCAGCCGGCAUUCUGACCAAGCCCACAUAAAGCUGGUACUAGACUGCUUGGACUCUGUUCCAUGCCUUUUAUUCCUUACCGCUAACAUUGUCCCCAUGCCCAAGCUGGACAUGAGAGAGCUGGGGUACCCUCCUGCUUCCCCUUCUAUUUACCAUGCAUCUCAUGUGUCUUGCACUGGUGGGGCCUGGGCCAUCUGGUCAUUGAAUAAGUAGUCAGCUGCAGGCCAUUUUCCACAGGGAAAACAUGGUGUUUCAAGGGCUCUAAAGGGGGAGAGCUGUUCAUGUCUGUCGUAGUGCCUGGCAGGGGGUAGCUAAAGGCACUGCUCUUUCCAGAACAGUCCCUUUGGGCUGGGUCACCGUUCCAGGUCUUUGUGGCUUUUCUCAUUUCCCUGCACAGAAGCCACGCCUCUGAGCCGGGUGCUUCUGUGAUGCUCUCCUGUUGACAGGUGAAGAGAGGCAUGGAGUCUGUGAGCAGAGCGCCCAAGGUCACAUACCUCCCGAGUGAAAGCCAGGCUGCAAGCCCAGCCAGCACCUGAAGAGCCUUUGUCCCUGGCCAACCUGAGUGUCACGAGGACGGAGCCUUCGUCUGGUUAACCGUGGGGAGAAAGAUCCAACAUAGAGAGGGGCCAGAGCCCGCUACGGCCCUCCAGGAAAGCAAAGCUAAGGCUUGCCUUGUAAGGUAGCACAGGGCCUUUCCCCCAGAAAGAGCUGACCUAGAAAUGUCUCGGCAGCCUCAGGGGCUUGGUGGAUGGACCCCUUGGCUUCCUCUUCCAGGUCUCUGUUUAAUGAUGGCUCGAACUCCUUUUUCUCUUUCUGGUUAGCCAGACCAGAAAUCAAUAUAAGCUUGACUCUAGUCCCUAAAACUGUUUACCUGCCUAGAAACAUGUCUGCUUUGUUGUUUUUAGACAGAUGCAGAUUAGAAGUAUAUGGGCUCGCCCACACCCAUGGAUCAGGCACAAACCGUGGGUACACUCUGUAACAGGAAGCUGCUGGUUUUCCAUUCCAGAGAACUGGAACUCACUCAGAAAUUUGUCAUUUGCAAGGUCCAACCCUCACCACAUUCCACUGCUGUUUCUGAGGACUUCCAGUCACCUGGGUUGUGAGGAAGCAAGCGGGUGGGUAAGGCCCUGUUGGCAGAACUAGAGUGGUAUGUUCUCCAAGUCUAGCGACUUCCCAGUGACCCCAGCCUGGCUCUGCCUGGCCCAGUCCACUCUGUAGCGUGUUGCCUUUGGAUCGACACAGUGCAGACAAGAGGCUUAUUUUAGAACUGGAAAGAGGGCAGACGUAUCAAUAAAAAGCCAGGGAAGGAACGAUCCAUUCAGUGGUUUUAAAAUAUCUCUUCCUCAACAGAAAAAGAUUAUUUUUGUUUCUUAAAAAACAACUGGUAAAUUUUCCCCCCAGUUGAAAAGAGAAACAUAGGAGACUUUUUAAA
rnacentral:lncRNA from 1 species